GACGGCCCUGGAAACUGAUUAUGAAUGUUAAAGGUUAACGGGUAGCGGAACCCCUAUGGACCCCCACGGAUACUAGUAGGCUGGUAAAUGAGAAAAAAAGAUAUGUCGUACAAUGAUUGAAUUACAAGAGGCGUGAUAAGUGUUAUGUUUUACAGCUUAGAUUAUUCAAUGAUUAUGAUAAUGUUAUUGUUUUUCUCAUAUUGUUUUCAUAAAUUCCACCAAGGUAAGUGGAUGGUAAAAGAUUUAUUAUUGAUAAAAGGUUUUGUUGUUAAUAAACGAGUUUAUUGUAAAUUAUGCUCCAUUGGUCUUUUUGUGGUUUUCUACCCACCUUUAUCUCCGUGACGGUGAGAUAUCGUGAUGUUCUUACUGGGCUAGUGUAGCUCACUCCUUAAUUAACCAUUUCAGAUCAGGAAGACAUGGUUCCCGAGCCCGUUCCGCAGGAGGACGACGAAGGGGAUGCCUAGAGACUCUGUAGUCAUACGCAUAGUUUAUUUUCGAGUUUUCUUUCUUAGUUAGUUUAACCUUUUAUAUUUUAAGUACGUUUGUUUGGUUUUUCAUGUAAGGGAUGUUAACUUUAAAUUUUGAUCUCGCUUCCGCAGUCGAUAUAUUUAAAUACUCAUUUCAUUUUAAUAUUUUCCGGGGCCGUUACAA
rnacentral:lncRNA from 1 species